UACGUAGGGAGCAAGCGUUAUCCGGAUUUAUUGGGUGUAAAGGGUGCGUAGGCGGUAAUACAGGUCUUUGGUAUAAGCCCGAAGCUUAACUUCGGUAAGCCAGAGAAACCGUAUAACUAGAGUAUGGUAGAGGCAAGUGGAAUUUCUAGUGUAGCGGUAAAAUGCGUAGAUAUUAGAAGGAACACCAGUGGCGAAGGCGACUUGCUGGGCCAAAACUGACGCUGAGGCACGAAAGCGUGGGGAGCAAAUAGG
rnacentral:rRNA from 1 species